UACGAGGGGGGCGAGCGUUGUUCGGAAUUAUUGGGCGUAAAGGGCGCGUAGGCGGUCGGGUAAGUCUGAUGUGAAAUCUCACAGCUUAACUGUGAAACUGCAUUGGAUACUAUUCGGCUUGAGAGUUGGAGGGGGGACUGGAAUUCUUGGUGUAGCAGUGAAAUGCGUAGAUAUCAAGAGGAACACCAGUGGCGAAGGCGAGUCCCUGGACAACUUCUGACGCUGAGGCACGAAAGCUAGGGGAGCAAACAGG
rnacentral:rRNA from 1 species